AAGCAGCCCUGCGUUGAUAUUUGUCAUGUAGCAAUCACGUGAAUCCAUUUUCACCAAAAUUUAGAACCUGUAUCUUGGGUUUGGCUCUACUGGUCCUAGCUUGCUACCACCUUCAUCUCGUAAAGGCCAAAUAUCAUCUUCUAUGAAUUCGUCCCUGCUCGAGCCAACUAUCAUUUUUCCUCGAUUCGUUUAUGUCUAUGAAUCAUGAAUUAAAUUUCAGAAGAGAUUGUGGAACAAAAAUCAAAUUAUUGCCAUAAAUCAAUUAGAAACCAAGAGUUGCAAGGUAUUUGUUGCUGGAAAUUGGACCAGGGUGUGACCGCGAACCGAGGGGAGGAGCUCCGGCUGUGAUGCGGUGGCAGGUGACUGACUCCGGCGGACCUGUAAAAAGCCCUUGGCCGGGGGUCCCGGCGAAGACCCUCCAAUGCUUAAGUCCGAGAGAGAUUUGGAGGUAUUUAAUGGAGAUAAUUGAGAAACAUUUUUUGACCAGGAGAGAAGAUCGAGAGAGAGGUCCCCCGCCUCGCCAGCGUUGCCCCCUCUUUAUAGGAGGAGGUGUGGCAGUUACUCAUCCUUGAUUACAAUUGCGCAGAUCUUGGAUUAAAUAGGUUACUGUAGACGACGCGAGAUUUCAGGCUGGCUAGCGAUCGGUUGAGAUUGUGAGGAUUCAAAUAUUGGCAGCCAUUGUGGCAAAGAUUGCGGAAUUUGAUCCCGGAUACGGAGGACUUGAUGACUCCUUCUUCAUGUGGAUGUUACGAUGUAGGGGUCGGCUUGAUUUUCGGUGGAGUGGAAGUCAGUUUUCCCCUUUAACUGGGUUUUUUCCGACCUUGAGGUCAAUCGAGCUUAACUCAGCCGAGAUCAUAUCUGCCGAGGUCAUGCUUACCAUCUCAACUAUGCUUUCCUGAAGGGAACAGAGAGUUGUCCAUAUUAGAUGGCUGUCCAUCUCAAGCUUUGGUGAAGUAUUAAUCUUGCUCUAACAAUUUGGCACAUAUUAACUGAAUGAUUCACCAUGGUUUCCAUUCACCACAACUAUGCUUCACUAAAACAAUCAUUUCACGAGAGUUAGGAUGUUUAGCAACAAGUUUUGUUCAAUCUGGGUGCAGAUUUGACGAUGGAUCCCUGUGCUGAUGUGUUCCAACAUCCAAACUUGUCCAAACUUGUCCAAACUCGGUUAGUUGGCUGCAAGACUAAUCAUGGAAAUCCAUCCCUCAACUUCCAAAGGAAAAUAUUCGCAAGAUUAUUCCUUUUUUUCUUUUUUUUUGCUGAAAACGGGUGCUUCAUACAGUACGGGUACGAAUACACCCAAUAAGAUCAAAAUACAAUACCUCACGGAGUGCCAAUGGCAGCUCCGCCUCCCCCGACCAGAGGGCAUACCCCAAGUGGUGGGCCGCAUGGGCAGCCACCCAAUCGGCUGCCCCAUUGGCCUUCCUGAAUACAUGCUUGGCCAGAAUGGCC
rnacentral:lncRNA from 1 species